UACGAAGGGGGCUAGCGUUGCUCGGAAUCACUGGGCGUAAAGCGCACGUAGGCGGAUUCCUAAGUCGGGGGUGAAAUCCUGGAGCUCAACUCCAGAACUGCCUUCGAUACUGGGAAUCUUGAGUCCGGAAGAGGUGAGUGGAACUGCGAGUGUAGAGGUGAAAUUCGUAGAUAUUCGCAAGAACACCAGUGGCGAAGGCGGCUCACUGGUCCGGUACUGACGCUGAGGUGCGAAAGCCAGGGGAGCAAACGGG
rnacentral:rRNA from 1 species